rnacentral:rRNA from 1 species
GGACCCGCACAAGCGGUGGAGCAUGUGGUUUAAUUCGAUGCAACGCGAAAAACCUUACCUACUCUUGACAUACUUGGAAGCUCUUGUAAUGAGAGUGUGCCUUUUGGAGCCAAGAUACAGGUGCUGCAUGGCUGUCGUCAGCUCGUGUCGUGAGAUGUUCCGUUAAGUCGGAUAACGAGCGCAACCCUUACCCUUAUUUGCCAGCGAUUCGGUCGGGAACUAUAAGGGGACUGCCGGUGAUAAACCGGAGGAAGGUGAGGACGACGUCAAGUCAUCAUGGCCCUUACGAGUAGGGCUACACACGUGCUACAAUGGGGAAUACAGACGGACGCUAAGCCGCGAGGUGGUGCUAAUCCUAGAAAGUUUCUCGUAGUCCGGAUUGGAGUCUGCAACUACGAUCUGCG